AAUUAAAGAGAUUGAUUUGACUGAGUGUUGGUGAGGCUGUAGAGAAGCUGGAACUCUCAUGCCCUGCUGGUGGGAAUGUAAAAUGGCACAACCACUUUGGGAAACUAUUAGCAGUUCUUUAAAAGUUAAACAUAUGUCUACCAUAUGAUUUGGUCAAUCCACUCCUUGGUAUUUACCCAAGAGAAAUGAAAGCGUGUGUUCACACAAAGACUUAGAUAUGAAUAUUCAUAAAAGUUUUAUUUGUAAUCAUCAAAAACUGAAAGCAAUUACAUGUUUGGAAUUGAAAUGUAUGGUAAUAUAAUACAAUAUAAAUCAACGAUGAGUGACGCCUAUGUGAUGAAGC
rnacentral:lncRNA from 1 species